GACGAACGCUGGCGGCGUGCUUAACACAUGCAAGUCGAACAAUGAAGCCUAGCUUGCUAGGUGGAUUAGUGGCGAACGGGUGAGUAAUACGUGAGUAACCUACCUUUAACUCUGGGAUAAGCCUGGGAAACUGGGUCUAAUACCGGAUACGACCAAUCUCCGCAUGGGGUGUUGGUGGAAAGCGUUAUGUAGUGGUUAUAGAUGGGCUCACGGCCUAUCAGCUUGUUGGUGAGGUAACGGCUCACCAAGGCGACGACGGGUAGCCGGCCUGAGAGGGUGACCGGCCACACUGGGACUGAGACACGGCCCAGACUCCUACGGGAGGCAGCAGUGGGGAAUAUUGCACAAUGGGCGCAAGCCUGAUGCAGCGACGCCGCGUGAGGGAUGACGGCCUUCGGGUUGUAAACCUCUGUUAGCAGGGAAGAAGAGAGAUUGACGGUACCUGCAGAGAAAGCGCCGGCUAACUACGUGCCAGCAGCCGCGGUAAUACGUAGGGCGCGAGCGUUGUCCGGAAUUAUGGGGCGUAAAGAGCUUGUAGGCGGUUUGUCGCGUCUGCUGUGAAGGCCGGGGCUUAACCCCGUGUAUUGCAGUGGGUACGGGCAGACUAGAGUGCAGUAGGGGAGACUGGAAUUCCUGGUGUAGCGGUGGAAUGCGCAGAUAUCAGGAGGAACACCGAUGGCGAAGGCAGGUCUCUGGGCUGUAACUGACGCUGAGAAGCGAAAGCAUGGGGAGCGAACAGGAUUAGAUACCCUGGUAGUCCAUGCCGUAAACGUUGGGCACUAGGUGUGGGGGACAUUCCACGUUUUCCGCGCCGUAGCUAACGCAUUAAGUGCCCCGCCUGGGGAGUACGGCCGCAAGGCUAAAACUCAAAGAAAUUGACGGGGGCCCGCACAAGCGGCGGAGCAUGCGGAUUAAUUCGAUGCAACGCGAAGAACCUUACCAAGGCUUGACAUAUACUGGACCGCAUCAGAGAUGGUGUUUCCCUUCGGGGCUGGUAUACAGGUGGUGCAUGGUUGUCGUCAGCUCGUGUCGUGAGAUGUUGGGUUAAGUCCCGCAACGAGCGCAACCCUCGUUCUAUGUUGCCAGCACGUUAUGGUGGGGACUCAUAGGAGACUGCCGGGGUCAACUCGGAGGAAGGUGGGGAUGACGUCAAAUCAUCAUGCCCCUUAUGUCUUGGGCUUCACGCAUGCUACAAUGGCCGGUACAGAGGGUUGCGAUACUGUGAGGUGGAGCUAAUCCCUAAAAGCCGGUCUCAGUUCGGAUUGGGGUCUGCAACUCGACCCCAUGAAGUCGGAGUCGCUAGUAAUCGCAGAUCAGCAACGCUGCGGUGAAUACGUUCCCGGGCCU
rnacentral:rRNA from 1 species